rnacentral:rRNA from 1 species
CCUACGGGAGGCAGCAGUAGGGAAUAUUGGACAAUGGGCGCAAGCGUGAUCCAGCCAUGCCGCGUGAGUGAUGAAGGCCUUAGGGUUGUAAAGCUCUUUUGCCUGGGAAGAUAAUGACGGUACCAGGAGAAUAAGCCCCGGCUAACUUCGUGCCAGCAGCCGCGGUAAUAUGAAGGGGGCUAGCGUUGUUUGGAUUUACUGGGCGUAAAGCGCACGUAGGCGGAUCUUUAAGUCAGGGGUGAAAUCCCGGGGCUCAACCUCGGAACUGCCUUUGAUACUGGGGAUCUUGAGUAUGGGAGGGGUGAGUGGAACUCCGAGUGUAGAGGUGAAAUUCGUAGAUAUUCGGAAGAACACCAGUGGCGAAGGCGACUCACUGGCCCAUUACUGACGCUGAGGCUCGAAAGCGUGGGGAGCAAACAGGAUUAGAUACCCUGGUAGUCCACGCCGUAAACGAUGAGUGCUAGUUGUCGGCAUGCAUGCAUGUCGGUGACGCAGCUAACGCAUUAAGCACUCCGCCUGGGGAGUACGGUCGCAAGAUUAAAACUCAAAGGAAUUGACGG